GAUGAACGCUAGCGGGAGGCUUAACACAUGCAAGUCGAAGGGCAGCACGUCUUCGGAUGGUGGCGACUGGCGAACGGGUGCGUAACGCGUAUGCAACCUACCCUCAACAGGGGAAUAGCCCAGAGAAAUUUGGAUUAAUACCCCAUAGUAUUACAGAUUCGCAUGUUUCUGUGAUUAAAGUUCCAACGGUUGAGGAUGGGCAUGCGUGACAUUAGCUUGUUGGUGAGGUAACGGCUCACCAAGGCAACGAUGUCUAGGGGUUCUGAGAGGAUGAUCCCCCACACUGGUACUGAGACACGGACCAGACUCCUACGGGAGGGCAGCAGUGAGGAAUAUUGGACAAUGGAGGGCAACUCUGAACC
rnacentral:rRNA from 1 species